UUUAAGCAUAUAAGUAAGCGGAGGAUGAGAAACUAAAUAGGAUUCCCUUAGUAAUGGCGAACGAACAGGGAAGAGCUCAGAUUGUAUAUCGGGGCCUUUGGCUUCGAAUUGUAGUCUCGAAAUGCAACGCCAACGGAGGCGCAGAUUUAAGCCCCUUGAAAGAGAGCGCCGACGAGGGUGAGAGUCCCGUUUGUCAAUCUGCAGCCCUCCGUACACGGCUUGCACUUGCAGAGUCACGUUCCUCGGGAUUGGAGCGCAAAGUGGGUGGUAAAUUUCAUCUAAAGCUAAAUACGUGUUUGAGACCGAUAGCACACAAGUACCAUGAGGGAAAGAUGAAAAGGACUUUGAAAAGAGAGUUAAAAGUGCCUGAAAUUGCUGCAAGGGAAGCGGAUGGAACCAGUCCACACGGUGAGAUUGUUGGGCGGAGGCGAAAGGAGUUACACUUUCAACGCAAGUGUGAGUGUGAGUUCUGGUCGUCUCUCGCCCGGUGGUUCUUGCCGUGGGGGUCAUUGGUGAUUGGUGGCCGAGGAUACCUGCAAAGGCAUGGUAGCCCGUCCCCGGGUGGGUGAACGCGUUUGUUAGUACUCGGCCGCUGAUCAUGUGAGUGGUGUCCGGUAACCGACGACCGACUUCGGUGGCUCAGCCGCUUGAGUUAAUCGUGGGUCCUGACACACGCCUACGACCAAAUGGUUCUUUCCGACCCGUCUUGAAACACGGGACCAAGGA
rnacentral:rRNA from 1 species